rnacentral:rRNA from 1 species
ACAUCCAGCGAACUUGGCAGAGAUGCCUUGGUGCCUUCGGGAACGCUGAGACAGGUGCUGCAUGGCUGUCGUCAGCUCGUGUUGUGAAAUGUUGGGUUAAGUCCCGCAACGAGCGCAACCCUUAUCCUUUGUUGCCAGCGAUUCGGUCGGGAACUCAAAGGAGACUGCCGGUGAUAAACCGGAGGAAGGUGGGGAUGACGUCAAGUCAUCAUGGCCCUUACGAGUAGGGCUACACACGUGCUACAAUGGCGCAUACAAAGAGAAGCGACCUCGCGAGAGCAAGCGGACCUCAUAAAGUGCGUCGUAGUCCGGAUCGGAGUCUGCAACUCGACUCCGUGAAGUCGGAAUCGCUAGUAAUCGUGGAUCAGAAUGCCACGGUGAAUACGUUCCCGGGCCUUGUACACACCGCCCGCCACACCAUGGGAGUGGGUUGCAAAAGAAGUAGGUAGCUUAACCUUCGGGAGGGCGCUUACCACUUUGUGAUUCAUGACUGGGGUGAAGUCGUAACAAGGUAGGCGUAGCGAG